rnacentral:rRNA from 1 species
GGUCAGGAUGAACGCUGGCGGCAGGCUUAAUACAUGCAAGUCGAACGGUAAGGCCGAGUGCAGCAAUGCAUGAGGUACACGAGUGGCGCACGGGUGCGUAACGCGUAUGCAACCUGCCCCGCAACCGGGACAAAACAGCUGGAAACGGCUGCUAAUAUCCCAUAGUCACCUGGGAGGGCAUCCUCCUGUGUGUAAAGAUUUAUUGGUACGGGAUGGGCAUGCGUAUUAUUAGGUAGUUGGCGGGUAACGGCCCACCAAGCCGACGAUGAUUAGGGGUCCUGAGAGGGUUAACCCCCACACUGGAACUGAGACACGGUCCAGACUCCUACGGGAGGCAGCAGUAGGGAAUAUUGGGCAAUGGGAGCAAUCCUGACCCAGCCAUGCCCGCGUGAAGGAAGACGGCCCUAUGGGUUGUAAACUUCUUUUGCCGCAGAGUAAACCCGGGGACGUGUCCCCGGUUGAGAGUAUGCGGCGAAUAAGUAUCGGCUAACUCCGUGCCAGCAGCGGC